AUCAGGAAAGUAUCACUGAUACCAACUGAUGUAUGGAUUUUUUCCCUAAUAUUAAACCAUUGAUUAUAACUACUCAACAUUACAGUAUAAUUGAGAACUAUCAAUUUAACAUUUAUAAGGCUUAUAAGAAAAAUAACUUCUAAUUUAAGUGAACUUAUAACAAUAUUCACAUAAACCCAUUAUAAUAAAUGUCAUAUAGCCUAUAGCUACCUGUGCCCUUCAGCAAGAAAAUAUAGCCUAAUUUAAUAAAGUUUAAUAAAAAUAAAGCUAAAAACUACAUAAGUUAUUGAUUUCCUCUUUUUAAUUUUGUUCUUUGAUUGACAGACAUCACAGCAGCUGGAUAUUAGUUUAUUUUUGCUGCUACUUUAAGAACUGCCGCUGCUGGACUUGAUUCGGCUCUGACACUGCUGUAAAUGUGACAAAUUAAUACUUGCGUGCACAGUUUUAAGGCAGCUUUAAUCACCAUGUUUUGUAACUUCAUGACUUAACUGAAGACAUAACUACAAUGUUGCAUACUCGUAGUUUAAUUUGGGUUUGAAUAUGAUAUAGCGCUUUAAUUACAGCCCGCACCAGCACAUUUAUGCAUGCACUUCUUAGAGCAUGUGCUAUGAGUACAGUAUAAUGGCUGGCAGGACAGGAAGAUUCAUGUUCACUGACAUAUGGCCUGACAGCAUCUCAUCUAACUGCAGUUCACUGAUGUUCUACUGAAGCUCCUUGUCCCCCGUUUGGUUUCCACGCUCGUUUGACUUCUUAUUAUACCUACACCUAUUAUACUCAUUUAUGAUUCACAUUCAUAAUUUUAGGUGUUUUUUUUUUUUUUUUGCAUUUUUCUGAUGGGGGGGCAGCCCUCAUAUAGGGGGUUCCUGUCUUUGUUGGACGACGCUAAUCACGGGGUGUGAAAAGUUUUGAGCUUGUCCACUUUCAACCACUUCCAGAGGUAGCUGAAAAUGUAUUCGACCGGAUUGUGUUCAUGGUGUAGACGCUCAUGUGGUCGAAUGUGUCCAAACAGCCACAAAAGCACGCAAGCCAGACAGGAUUACAACAUUUUCAGCUAAGAGAUAAGUUUGUGCUUGAGAUUGCCGAAGACAAUGCUAUAAUGAAAGCAGAUUUCAUUCAGGAGCUUCUUCCAUCUGCGGAGCGAACGGCUCUCCUUUAUCACCUGACUUUCCUGAGUCUGGGAGGAUUCCCAAAGCUGGAGCGUCUGAUCAGAGAUCAAGCUAUUGAAACACAACUGCUGUUCGGAUCCUCUGAAGCCCUUCUGCUGAGGUGUGUCGGCACAAGUUCCAACCUGGUCACCUCCCUGUUUCCAAUGUUGAAAACGGCUGUGGUGAAGAACAAACCCGAUUUGGCGAAGAAGUACCUGAAGAAAGCUGAAGACUGGAUCACUGACAUCAUAACACAAGUGGAUGACAUUGUGAAGAGGUAUGAUAAACACAACCAAAGUGUGAAAACAUGCACCAGUGAUGUGUAUCAAGAACAAGCAGAGACCAAAGAAGAAAAAGAUAAAAAAUCUGAUGAGAUGAAGGGUCUGGAGGUUGCUGUCGCCAAGCUCCAACUGGAUCUGAAAAAAGUAGUCGACAAAGUGGAGAUGAAUGAGAAACAAAUUAAAAACAACACUGAGGAGCUGAAUAGCUUCAUCAGUAGAUUUCAGGAAGAACAUGGCCACUGGACUGUGAAGUUCCUUGACGCUUUUAGAGGCUAUCCAGACGCUAUGAAGGAGCCUACUGCCAUUGAUCUGGAUAGAAAACUGAAACAACUCGACUCUGAGAAGAGCCUUCUGAAAAAUGAAGAGUGGAACAUCAAAACCAAGCAGCUUGAUCUUCAGCUGCAGCUGGCCAACUGUAAAAUACGGAUGGGUGAGAUUCCCAACCCUGACAACCUGAAGGAAGUCCAGCUGUGUCUUUCUCAAAUCCAACAAAUUCUCAUUGAUCUGAAAAAGUUUUGGGAGAAGGUGGAUGCUAUUCUGAGCACGCUGAGAGAUAGAACCUUUGCUGGGGAAGAAAUGGUUGACAUGGAGGACAUGAAGGAUGAGUUCAUAAGCUCUAUUGAAGAUGCAGCAAAGUACUGGAAGAAAUUUGGUGUGUGCUGUCAGAAAGCUCAAGGCGUCUUCAGUGUUCAGUCUAGAGAUGCAUAUAAAUUCCUGGAGAUGAAUCCGUCUUCGCUCUCUGAGGAGGAGAGGAAAAAGCAGUACUUGUCUAUCACAGAGAAGCUGAAUAAAAUCAAUCCAAACCCGCCAGCACUGAGUAACACCCAGAUCUGAUGCUUCCUGAAUGCUCCUUACACAAAUCAAUGCAUACAGCUUCUCUUGGCAUUUUCAUAAUUCUGUGUAAUCUCCUGUAAAUUGUUCUUGAACAUGUUCAAUUACAGUUCUACAUAUGCAUGUUCUUUAACAAGUUGAUGUUAGGAAUAUUAUUUAGAUCAAUUUAUGGCUAUCUCUUUCAAAAUUGCUUUGCAUUUUUAUCAUGCUGUAUACAGAUCUUGUGGUCUGGUCAUGUGAUUAAUGUCUAUGUCUCACAAUAAAGACAAAAGGCAUG
ensembl:lncRNA